rnacentral:rRNA from 1 species
GGGGAAUAUUGGACAAUGGGCGCAAGCCUGAUCCAGCAAUGCCGCGUGAGUGAUGAAGGCCUUAGGGUUGUAAAGCUCUUUUACCAGGGAUGAUAAUGACAGUACCUGGAGAAUAAGCUCCGGCUAACUCCGUGCCAGCAGCCGCGGUAAUACGGAGGGAGCUAGCGUUGUUCGGAAUUACUGGGCGUAAAGCGCACGUAGGCGGCUAGUCAAGUCAGGGGUGAAAUCCCGGGGCUCAACCCCGGAACUGCCCUUGAAACUGGUUAGCUAGAAUCUUGGAGAGGUCAGUGGAAUUCCGAGUGUAGAGGUGAAAUUCGUAGAUAUUCGGAAGAACACCAGUGGCGAAGGCGACUGACUGGACAAGUAUUGACGCUGAGGGGCGAAAGCGUGGGGAGCAAAC